UUUUACCGUCUAGAGAAACUUAUUGCAAUUCAUUUUUCCUCACUCCAGUAGUAAGAAUUACACCAAUUUGAAAAGAUAUGAAUGAGUAUCCUAAAAAAAGAAAAAGGAAGAUUCUACACCCUUCUCGUUAUUCAGAUUCCUCUGGAAUAAGCAGAAUUGCAGAUGGAUUCAAUGGAAUUUUCUCUGAUCAUUGUUACAGUGUCUGUUCUAUGAGACAGCCAGAUUUAAAAUAUUUUGACAACAAAGAUAAUGAUUCUGAUACCAAGACAUCAAAUGACUUGCCAAAAUUUGCAAAUGGAAUCAAGGCCAGAAACAGAAAUCAGAACUACCUGGUUCCCAGUCCUGUACUUAGAAUUCUAGACCACACUGCCUUUUCUACAGAAAAAUCUGCUGAUAUUGAAAUUUGUGAUGAAGAGUGUGACUCACCUGAAUCAGUCAACCAGCAGACCCAAGAGGAGAGUCCUAUAGAAGUUCACACUGCUGAAGAUGUUCCAAUUGCUGUAGAAGUGCAUGCGAUUUCUGACGAUUAUGAUAUAGAGACAGAAAACAAUUCCUCUGAGAGUCUCCAAGACCAAACUGAUGAAGAACCACCAGCUAAACUUUGUAAAAUUCUUGACAAGAGCCAAGUUUGAAUGUGACUGCCCAGUAGAAAUGGCCUUUACUGAGAGCUAAUAGCAGUGGCCUCUAUAAAUGUGAACUUUGUGAGUUUAACAGCAAAUAUUUUUCUGACUUAAAGCAGCAUAUGAUCCUGAAGCAUAAAUGUACUGAUUCAAAUGUGUGUCUAGUAUGUAAGGAAAGUUUCUCUACCAAUAUGCUUCUGAUAGAACAUGCCAAACUACAUGAAGAGGAUCCCUACUUUUGUAAAUACUGUGAUUAUAAGACAGUAAUUUUUGAGAACCUCAGUCAGCACAUUGCAGACACCCAUUUUAGUGAUCACCUCUAUUGGUGUGAACAGUGUGAUGUACAGUUCUCCUCAAGCAGUGAACUCUACCUACAUUUCCAGGAGCACAGCUGUGAUGAACAGUACUUGUGUCAGUUCUGUGAACAUGAAACUAAUGAUCCAGAAGACUUGCAUAGCCAUGUGGUAAAUGAGCAUGCAUGUAAAUUAAUAAAGUGAUAACAAUGGAGAACAUGGACAGUAUAGCCUCUUAAGCAAAAUUACCUUUGACAAAUGUAAAAACUUCUUUGUGUGGCAAGUAUGUGGUUUUCAGAGUAGAUGUCAUACAAAUGUUAACAGGCAUGUUGCUUUUGAACAUACUAAAAUUUUUCCUCAUGUUUGUGAUGACUUUGGGAAAGGCUUUUCAAGUAUGCUAGAAUAUUGCAAGCAUUUAAAUUCACAUUUAUCUGAAGGGAUUUAUUUAUGUCAAUAUUGUGAAUAUUCAACAGGACAAAUUGAAGAUCUUAAAAUUCAUCUAGAUUUCAAGCAUUCAGCUGACUUACCUCAUAAAUGUAGUGACUGCUUGAUGAGGUUUGGAAAUGAAAGGGAAUUAAUAACUCACCUUCCAUCCAGUCCAUGAGACAACUUGA